rnacentral:rRNA from 1 species
UGAGUAACACGUAUCCAACCUGCCGUCUACUCUUGGACAGCCUUCUGAAAGGAAGAUUAAUACAAGAUGGCAUCAUGAGUCCGCAUGUUCACAUGAUUAAAGGUAUUCCGGUAGACGAUGGGGAUGCGUUCCAUUAGAUAGUAGGCGGGGUGACGGCCCACCUAGUCUUCGAUGGAUAGGGGUUCUGAGAGGAAGGUCCCCCACAUUGGAACUGAGACACGGCCCAA